rnacentral:rRNA from 1 species
GAUGAACGCUGGCGGCGUGCCUAAUACAUGCAAGUCGAGCGGACGGACGAGAAGCUUGCUUCUCUGAUGUUAGCGGCGGACGGGUGAGUAACACGUGGAUAACCUACCUAUAAGACUGGGAUAACUUCGGGAAACCGGAGCUAAUACCGGAUGAUAUUUUGAACCGCAUGGUUCAAAAGUGAAAGACGGUCUUGCUGUCACUUAUAGAUGGAUCCGCGCUGCAUUAGCUAGUUGGUAAGGUAACGGCUUACCAAGGCAACGAUGCAUAGCCGACCUGAGAGGGUGAUCGGCCACACUGGAACUGAGACACGGUCCAGACUCCUACGGGAGGCAGCAGUAGGGAAUCUUCCGCAAUGGGCGAAAGCCUGACGGAGCAACGCCGCGUGAGUGAUGAAGGUCUUCGGAUCGUAAAACUCUGUUAUUAGGGAAGAACAUAUGUGUAAGUAACUGUGCACAUCUUGACGGUACCUAAUCAGAAAGCCACGGCUAACUACGUGC